rnacentral:snRNA from 1 species
GUAUUCACUUAGGCAAUACAUAAACUAAGAACUGUAAUGAUACAAACAGGAUUAGCAAGGUCUUUGCUCAAGGACAGCAUGGAAAUUGGCAAAGUGCCUAUUUUCU